CCCCUUUGUAAUCGGAGCCGGGGGGCCUAUAUACCGUCUGCCGGCUUGCCGGCUAUGGCGAUAAACGGUGCGUGGAAUAAGCGUUGUGGACCCGGGGGCAGUGCCCGGCGCCUCCACCAUUUCUCCGGCCCAGACAUGCGGCGGGCCGGCGUCGGGGGGCGAAACAGGCUCGACACGCGUGGUAAAGACUCAUCUUUUGCUCGGCAUGGUUCCGCCGUCAUCGGGCCGUAUCACAAGUGCCAACGACAACAACAUGGCGCUCGCUGCCGCCUAAACAACGGUAAGCGCGGUUAGGGGGGCCCCGGGCAACAGAAUGCCCCCCACU
rnacentral:tmRNA from 1 species